UCCUGUAUCGAAAGUGAUCAUGGCGUGUCUGUCGCCAGGUCAUUGAUACUACAGGUACAUCAACCUGUGAGCAUUUCCCGUGUUCCAAGGACUUCCUGUUCCUCUUGAACCCUGGCGCUCCCAGACA
ensembl:snoRNA SNORA71 Small nucleolar RNA SNORA71